GGAGACGAUGCUGACAGAGAUCAGUCCUGCUUUACCUGACUCUGACUGCAAGCAGAAGAUACUGCUCUUGUUAAAGUGAUAGGUCUUCCAUAGGUGCAGUUAGCACUUUCAGGAUGUUCUUCUGGGCACCAAGACAAAGCUGAGCAAAUGAGAUGAUUUCUGCAGCCUUCUGCAGCACAGAGAGUUGGGGACAGUGAGCGGCCCACGCACAGAAAUGCAGAGGCUCAUGCUGGCUGUCAGCUUGUGACCCAGGGCCAGAAGUGGUGGGAACAGAGGCACAGUCCUGCUGGGCAAAGAUUUGAAGAACCUAACCACUGGCUGUGCCCUGUUCCUCUGACUUACCCCAUCAGUACAGAUGGUGAGGCUGCUCAGGUAUUUCUGAUGGUGUGGGAUGAGAUUGCUGGAGACUGUAUAGACAUGGGAGAAUGUAGGGCCACUGCGUAUGCAGUUAAACUUCGACAUGAGGAGUUGCACAGUGUUUGGAAGAGCUCUGAUUUUAAAAUGCCACCUGUUUUUCAGGGAAAAACAAUUUGCAGGCUCUUAUCCAAUUGUUACUGAAGUCAAAGUGAAAAAAUUAAACUCCAACUGCACAGAA
rnacentral:lncRNA from 1 species